GACGAACGCUGGCGGCGUGCUUAACACAUGCAAGUCGAACGGAAAGGCCCUGCUUUUGUGGGGUGCUCGAGUGGCGAACGGGUGAGUAACACGUGAGUAACCUGCCCUUGACUUUGGGAUAACUUCAGGAAACUGGGGCUAAUACCGGAUAGGAGCUCCUGCUGCAUGGUGGGGGUUGGAAAGUUUCGGCGGUUGGGGAUGGACUCGCGGCUUAUCAGCUUGUUGGUGGGGUAGUGGCUUACCAAGGCUUUGACGGGUAGCCGGCCUGAGAGGGUGACCGGCCACAUUGGGACUGGGAUACGGCCCAGACCCCUACGGGAGGCAGGAGGGGGGAAUAUUGCAAAAUGGGCGGAAGCCUGAUGCAGCACCGCCGGGUGCGGGAUGACGGCCUUCGGGUGGAAAACCGCUUUCGCCUGGGACGAAGCGUGAGGGAGGGUAAUGGGAAAAGAAGCACCGGCUAAUUACGU
rnacentral:rRNA from 1 species